GAUUUCUGAACUAGUGUUUCUAGCCGGCCACGGUUUCGUGUGUUAGUGUUGGAACUACUGUUCAUCCUUUUACUCUCUCCUCUCUGAUCUUAACUGAUUGGCGGGUAGAGGUAAAUCUUUUACUUUGAACAAAUUAGCGCGUUUCAAGCAGGCUUUAUGCUAUGAAUACAUUAGCAUGGAAUAAUGAUUUAGGACUUCGGUUCUAUUUUGUUGGUUUCUAUUACUGAAGUAAUGAUUGAUAGGGACAGUUGGGGGUGCUAGUAUUCAGUGCGAAGAGGUGAAAUUCUUGGAUCCACUGAAGACUAACUUAAGCGAAAGCAUU
rnacentral:rRNA from 1 species